GGUCCUCUCCAAAUGCUUAAACUCUAUGGCAUUCCCUACUGGGUAGGUCUAGUUCUGCAAUAACUUGCAUGUCAAGCCAUAGGAAGCAAUCUCUGCAAUUCAUUUUCUUCUUAUUUAAUUCAUGAAUUUGCAUUGAAAUGCAGAUCUUUGUCAUGUGGUUGGACUUUGUGACCUACCUGCAUCACCAUGGUCAUGGAGAUAAACUUCCCUGGUAUCGUGGAAAGGUGCGAUGAUAAACGAUAAAAUCAAUGAGCUUUAGUUUAAUGGUACUGGAGUUUCCUCCAGAGCUGACUAUCGUUUUC
rnacentral:lncRNA from 1 species